rnacentral:rRNA from 1 species
UACAGAGGGUGCGAGCGUUGUCCGGAAUCACUGGGCGUAAAGGGCGCGUAGGCGGUUUUGUAAGUCGGGGGUGAAAUGCUGCGGCUCAACCGCAGCGCUGCCUUCGAGACUGCAAGACUGGAGCACGGUAGAGGCGGAUGGAAUUCCCGGUGUAGCGGUGGAAUGCGUAGAGAUCGGGAAGAACACCAAUGGCGAAGGCAGUCCGCUGGGCCUGUGCUGACGCUGAGGAGCGAAAGCGUGGGGAGCGAACAGG